CUGGGCUUGCAAAUGACUCUAGCUCAAAAUAAAGAAAAACAAAUUGAAAUGAGGAUUUUAAUCACUGUGAAGGGUAUGAAAGGCUGUGUCAGCGUUUCCAUGGUAAAACUACUCAGCUGGAUGAUGAAAAUGGUGAAAACACACUGCAACAUGACUGAGCAGACUUUGAAGUGUCCAAUACAGCAGGGCAUUCUAGGAUCACCUAAUAAAUGGCAGUGCAGUUCCCAACCCCAAACAGAAUAGUAUGUGAAGCCUCAGCACCCUCAUCAGGCCACGUAGGAGCCAACUGUGGUGGCACCAUGCAUGUAAAUGGCUUCAACCAAGUGACCACACUGUAUCCUUUCGUCAUUAAAGAAAUGUCUCCUUCUGCCUUCAGCACUAAGUUGAGUUCAGCUUCCUUGCCCACUGUCACUUUAACCAAGCUGGAGGAGGCACUGCUCCAGCACCCUCCUGCCCCAAGAUCCAGACCCAGACACUGCACCACCCUCUCUAACUGCAUGACAUAGGUGUGGCUUCCUGAUUGUCUACACUUAGUGGUACUGAUACAGUGGUACUGAUGCUAUCACCAAUUGGUCAUCUACCAUAAACCA